rnacentral:tRNA from 1 species
GACUUGGUGGUGAAGCGGUUAACACGCCGGACUUUCGCUCCGGUAUUACGCGGGUUCAAAUCCCGUCCAAGUCGCCA